GACGAACGCUGGCGGCGUGCCUAAUACAUGCAAGUCGAACGCAGUGGGGACGGGUGAGUAACACGUGGGUAACCUCCCAUCAGAGGGGAUAACACUUGGAAACAGGUGCUAAACCGAUACUGAUGGAUGGACCCGCGGUGCAUUAGCUAGUUGGUGAGGUAACGGCUCACCAAGGCCACGAUGCAUAGCCGACCGUGGAGGGUGAUCGGCCAAACUGGGACGUAGACACGGCCCAGACUCCUUAGGGAGGCAGCAGUAGGGAAUGUUCGGCCAUGGAACAAAGUCUGACCGAGCAACGCCGCGGUAGUGAAGAAGGUUUUCGGAUCGUAAAACUCUUUUGUUAGGGAAGCGGGAUUCAACCAGAAAGCCACGGCUAACUACGUGCCAGCAGCCGCGGUAAUUC
rnacentral:rRNA from 1 species